AGAGUUUGAUCUUGGCUCAGAGCGAACGCUGGCGGCGUACCUAACACAUGCAAGUCGAACGGGGAUCACAGGGUUAGCAAUAACUCCGUGGUUCUAGUGGCGCACGGGUGAGUAACACGUGGGUAACCUGCCCUUGAGACUGGGAUACCCCCUCGAAAGGGGGGCUAAUACCGGAUACGUUCCUCGGAUCGAAAGUUCUGAGGAGGAAAGGUGGCGAAAGCUGCCGCUCUUGGAGGGGCUCGCGGCCUAUCAGCUAGUUGGCGGGGUAACGGCCCACCAAGGCUAUGACGGGUAGCUGGUCUGAGAGGACGACCAGCCACACGGGGACUGAGACACGGCCCCGACUCCUACGGGAGGCAGCAGUGGGGAAUUUUCCGCAAUGGGCGAGAGCCUGACGGAGUGACGCCGCGUGUGGGACGAAGGCCUUCGGGUCGUAAACCACUGUCAGUGGGAAAGAUGGGUGUCGGCGUGAUAACCGCCGGCAUUUGACGGUACCUGCAGAGGAAGCCCCGGCUAACUCUGUGCCAGCAGCCGCGGUAAGACAGAGGGGGCAAGCGUUGCUCGGAAUUACUGGGCGUAAAGGGCGCGUAGGCGGGAUGGCAAGUCGGUCGUGAAAUCCCUCGGCUCACUGAGAUCGUCGAUCGAUACUGCCGUUCUUGAGGAUUGCAGAGGAGACUGGAAUUCCCGGUGUAGCGGUGAAAUGUGUAGAGAUCGGGAGGAACACCGGUGGCGAGGGUCUCUGGGCAAUUCCUGACGCUAGCGCGAAAGCGUGGGGAGCAAACGGGAUUAGAUACCCUGGUAGUC
rnacentral:rRNA from 1 species